UCAAAAACCUAAACCCAGGUCAUCGGAUGGGAACCCAGGGGCUGCAGCACCACGCUCUGUCUGGAUGGGCUGGGAACGAAUGAAGCGACUCGGACCCCUUCUGCUUACUGCACAACCAACCCUGAUCCUUAAGGCUGCUUCCCUCUGCCCUGACAUCUGUGGCUGCCUCACCUUGUCCUCUUCUGUGUCCCCUGAUGCAUCCUUGAUCACCGACAGCCUCAUCCUGCUCCUGACAGAUGCUCUAGAUGCUGCUUCAUGUGAGAGGGAAGUUCUGGUUCAGCCCAUCUUGCUGUCAUGCUUCUGGCAACCUACUCAGUAGCUAAUGUCUCCAGCUCAGAUGAAAUUGUCUGGAUUAAUGGAUCCCAUGUCAGCUUUCAGAAAUGGAGACAUGAUAAAAAUUGUGACCUUGAUGCAUUAGAGAUUGAAGCUGAGGCUACAUUUAGCAUAAGGGCUGGUUUUUGAUAUGAAACACACUCCAUCUUUGGAGAGUAAACAUCUGGGAACACUAAUGAGCCUGUUUCACCCAGAGUCUCUCCUUUCUUCUCCUCCAAUCUUCAAAAAAGCGAAGGCUAGUCAACUCCAUCAGCAUCUCUGACACAGCUGAUAAAAUUGAGGCUAAGACACUGUAUAAAACAGGGCCACGAUUCAUCAGCUUACUAUCACACCCUUGGCCAGUAAAGGAGAAUGAUGGUUUUCAAAAGGUUGCUGUAGCAACCCCUUCAAAUGUCUCUGGACCCAACCCCUGGGAAAUGUCUCACUGGGACUCAAGUUAAAAUCAACAUUUAUAUUGUGGUUCUGCUUUUACUGGUUGCUCUAUUACCAGAGACUAAAUUUCUGGUAGAAGCAAGCUGCCACAGCUAGAUGAUGUUGUCCAAUGGGCAACUCACAGGAGCUUUGCAAAGUACCAGUGCAUGGUGCAUCCAAAAUGAUAACAAUAUCUACAUGACUUGAUGGAAAUCUUGUCCUGGGUUAAGACUUGGUGCCCGAAGAUUCUACACCCUAGACUGCAGAGAGGACUGAUCAAGUAUCACUCUGUCAGAAGCAUCUUCUUGCCCUGUCUCACUUUCUCAUUUCUCCAAGUUAGUGUCUGAUGUGUCAGCUGACAUUGGGUAGAAUGACUCUCUAGUUUAUAUCUGUGUAGUAGGAAAGAUGUUAAUUAAAGCCACAAAGUUAAGCAAAACAAUAUAUAAAAAAACAAAGUCCACAGAUAAUAACAUUGUUAACAGCAGUAUUUUCUUCUCAUCGAUAUAUGAAUAGCAUUACUUGAAAGCCUACUCUAAUUUUUAAAUCCUAACACCUAGUUAGUAACCCUGACUAUUAGAGAGUUCUUUAUCAAGCAAAGAGAGCAUGGGGUGUCGAUUCUCUACAGCCACCAUUAAUCCUGUAUCUUUCAAAGAGAAUGCUCCCUGGAACAGACUGAGGAUAUAGACACCACCACUCGCCAGCAAAGGUAUCAGAGAGACACUAAGGAAACUUAAAAGGAACAAAUCUUAUUUGAGAUGCAAAUGCUUCCCUUGGAAACAUUUUAGGAAGGCCAACAUCCAGAGACUAUAAAAUCUAGCACCUGGAAGCUUCGCAGUUGUGUGACAUUUUAUAGCCUAGUUCUCCCUCUCGGAGAACCUGUCAAGCUACUGAGAGUUUCCUGCCCACAGGGGGUAGCCUGGCAAGCACCCUGUGGUGUAUUUAUAUGCCCAAACCAGUAACAAUGAUGGGUCUCAUUCCCCUGACCCUGAAAGAGCCUGCAGUACUGCACCAUUGGGAAGGACAAGUAAAGAGAGGCUUCUAAAAUCUCAGAGUCAGAACAAAUGGAGACAUUAAUGAGACUGCUUGAGAAAAUAGAGGAUCAACGAGAUGAUGAUGAUGAUGAUGAUGAUGAUGAUGAUGAUGAUGAUGAUGAUGAUGAUGAUGAUAACUUUUCACUAGAUUUUCUUUUUUUUAAGUUAAGUCAGAGACAGAGAGUCUCUUGCCCCCUGUGCCUGGCUGUCUUCAACGGGGACCCUCAGAGUGGGUGGGUUGAGUUUCCCCUCUCCACCGAGCAGAGUGCUGGCAGCCAAAGACCUCCGGAACCCAGCCACAGCUGUGCUCAAGGCCCCUCUCCAUACGUUCGGAUGAGCCUCCUGCAUGAAGGAACCGGCAGAGGAACCCAGGUGUGUGGGACGUGGGGCUGAGAUCUCCAAGCCUGCUUGGAUUGGGACUGGGCCUCUUCCACCCAGAUGCCCCAUUUUCCAGUAGCUAGGCGGUCACACCCAGAAACUGCUGGUGCCGUGUAAUCCCAUCAACAGCCAACAUCCAGAGACUAUAAAACCAAGCUCUUGGAAGCGACAUCUUGUAUCCUAAUCCUCCCUCUUGGAGAAACUGACUAGCUACCAAGAGUUUCCUGCCUGCAUGGGAGAGCCUUGCAAGCUCCCCGUUGUGUAUUUAUAUGCCAAAACCAGUAACAAUGAUGGGUCUCAUUCCCCUGAUCCUGAAAGAGCCUCUAAUGUGGCACCAUUGAGAAGGAUGAGUAAAUAGAGGUUUCUAAAAUCUCAGGGCUAGGACGAAUGGAGAUGUUACUGAUACCACUUGAGAAAAUCAACGAUGAUGAACAGGAUGAUGAUGAUGAUGGUGAUGAAGAAGAAGAAGAAGAAUUAAACCACCUUGAGAUAAACCAUUAAUAAGUUGUCCAUGAUUGGAUUUCAAUCAUAAAAUGUUUCAAUAUUGUCCCUUCACAAGUGAACAUUUUCCACCACCCA